rnacentral:lncRNA from 1 species
GAACGCCAGCCACAGGAGGCUUCUUGGUCUGAGGACAGCUCGGGGGUGUUCCAGGGCUCGGGGUAUAGUAGGUUCCCCACCAUCGCCGGCUGCUCAAAGGGGCCUGACUCCAGCUCCAGGGGUCCCCGUAGGACCGUGGCUCCGGCGGGGAACGGAUCGAGAGGGUCCGCGGCCAUCAAGACACCCGAAUCGUUGCCACUGCCGAAGUCUGGCGCCAGCAACUCAAAGAACUCAACGGCCUCCGCCCCUUUCUCCAGGUCACCCAGACUCACGCCCUGGCCCGAUGGGACGCCGCUGGCGCCGCCGCAGCCCACCCGGGAUGGUUCAGUGAAGAAGGACGGGGGCAGGUUUCGGGCACGCAGCGGGACCUUCCUGGUGCCGGGAGCCACUGAGCUCACCGCGGUGCCCGCCCCGUCUCCCACAGCGCUUGCUGCUCCGAGGCCCGGGACUGACACCGCCUCCGCACCGCCAGCCGUCUCUGCACCCCCGGGGAUGUGGCGCAGAGAGUCGAAAAGAGCAGCCAGGCUCCGGCUCUGCAGGCUGGCGGCAGCUGCAGCCUGGGUCGCCUCCCUCCGCGGGGCGGCCUUACAGUGCGCUGGGGUCGCGACGGUCGGGGCUCCCGGAGGCCGUUUGGCUGGAGCAUCUGCAGCGCUCGGGGACGCGGGUCUCGGAGGUGCAGUCCCCAUGAGGCCACUGCAGCGCUUAAUCUGCUUCUGCAAGUACUUGCGGUGGUUCACUUUCCGCUUAGACUUGCCUGGCUUGUCCAGCGCCAGCUUGAUGUUGCUGGACGCCGAGUCUAUGAAGCUGAGCAGGUCGCGGGUGGCCUCGCGCACGUCCCCGCCCUCGGACCCCGAUAGCAGCGCUCCCGCGGUCGCCCCGCUCUCAUCGUCUUCGAAACAGCAGCCUUUGUCCAGACUUCCGAAGGCGCUCACCAGCCCGUCCGCGGAGCCUCCGAAACCGAAGGGUAUGAAGGGGUGCGAGCUGAGCAGCGCAGCCUGCACCGCCAUCGCUGCGGCUCCCCGGCCGUCCGCAGCGCGGCCCGUGCGCACCCGGCCCGCUCCAGCCCAGGCGAGGCGCUGUCUGCUCGCUCCGACCCAGGCUCACGGCUCAGCCUCCCGGGGGAGCUCAUUAGAUCUUGAGUGUCUCAGAUCAUAUGUCCACAUGAACCUGUGGUAGCUCUGCUGGAUGAUGAAGCAGAUAUACCUGCUUCCUCUAUCCAGUCCAGUACAUGUGGAGAAGCUGGCCCCAUCUACUGUCCUCCUAGAUGGUACACCUGGACAAGCAUGGAGGACAAAUUGAAGUCAUGCAGGAAUAUUCAGGGAGAGUAAUUGCUUGCAAAAGAUGUCAUCUACAAAGAAAUUGUGGUUCUCAAGAUAUUCAAUGUCCUGCAACCCUCUUAUAAAGGCCUGUAGCUUUGGAUUGCAAUAUGGCUCCUCCUAUAAAGACACAUUGAUUGAGCCAAAAGAGGCAAGGAAGGGCCUAGUGUGCCUUGUGCCUAAUGUGGAUUGUUAGUUACCUUUUAUUGCUGAGAUAAGACACGACUACCAAGGAAACUUAUUUAAUUGGGUUUUAAUAUGAGAACAAUGAUUACUUGGUAAACAAGAACUGUUUCCUUUUGAACAUGUAAAAUUAGGAUAACACUAAAGAUGAGAAAGUAGGAAGACUGCUGCCAACUUUAACUUUUAUAGUUGAGAGGAAAACUAAGAGAAUAAUUAUUAAGUAGCUAGAAACAGGCAUUUAUAUUUGAUUUAUUCUUUUAUUAAUAAAUCAAAAAUAAUAAGGGAUACAGAAUUUUAUCUGGAGACAGGAUCAUGGGAGGCUGGGGCUAGCCUUCCUCUUACUAUGCUGCUAUGACGGACAAGGAACUUCUGAUCCUCCUUCUUCUACCUCCUGGGUACUAGGACUACAGGCCAGAUAGCACUGGGACUACAGACCUACACUACCAUGGAGUGCUGAGAAUUAAAGCUCACAGAGAUCUACCUGCCUCUGAGUCCUGAAUGCUUAGAAUAAAGGUGUGCAUAACACUCCUAGCUAGCAACAUUUUUGGAUUUAAAUAAAUGAACUUACAAUCAAGAUG